rnacentral:rRNA from 1 species
CAUGGAAGGGCCAUCGCUCAACGGAUAAAAGCUACCCCGGGGAUAACAGGCUUAUCUCCCCCAAGAGUUCACAUCGACGGGGAGGUUUGGCACCUCGAUGUCGGCUCAUCGCAUCCUGGGGCUGUAGUCGGUCCCAAGGGUUGGGCUGUUCGCCCAUUAAAGCGGUACGCGAGCUGGGUUCAGAACGUCGUGAGACAGUUCGGUCCCUAUCCGUCGUGGGCGUAGGAAAUUUGAGAGGAGCUGUCCUUAGUACGAGAGGACCGGGAUGGACAUACCUCUGGUGUACCAGUUGUCGUGCCAACGGCAUAGCUGGGUAGCUAUGUGUGGACGGGAUAAGUGCUGAAAGCAUCUAAGCAUGAAGCCCCCCUCAAGAUGAGAUUUCCCAACUUCGGUUAUAAGAUCCCUCAAAGAUGAUGAGGUUAAUAGGUUCGAGGUGGAAGCAUGGUGACAUGUGGAGCUGACGAAUACUAAUCGAUCGAAGACUUAAUCAAAUU